rnacentral:ncRNA from 1 species
AACUCGGCAAAAUGACCCCGUAACUUAGGUAGAAGGGGUGCUCUAGCUCCUAUCUUUUGAUUAGGAAAGCGGCACAUACCAGGGGUAGCGACUGUUUAUUAAAAAUACAGGACUCUGCUAAGUGGUGACACGAUGUAUAGAGCCUGACACCUAUCUGGAGCUGGAAGGUCGGAAGGAGAAGUGUUAUAAGCUUUGAAUGGAAGCCGGCAAGAAUGACAAUGCCAACAAAAUAACGGGAUAGAUGAAGCACAAAAAAUAAUACUCGAAAUAGCAAACUUCUAGCUA